GACGAACGCUGGCGGCGUGCUUAACACAUGCAAGUCGAACGGUGAAGCGCCUUCCUUUUUGGUGGGUGUGGAUGAGUGGCGAACGGGUGAGUAACACGUGAGUAACCUGCCCCCUUCUUCUGGAUAACCGCAUGAAAGUGUGGCUAAUACGGGAUAUUCUGGGUCUGUCGCAUGAUGGGUCUGGGAAAGAUAUUGUUUCGGUGGGGGAUGGGCUCGCGGCCUAUCAGCUUGUUGGUGGGGUGAUGGCCUACCAAGGCGGUGACGGGUAGCCGGCCUGAGAGGGUGGACGGUCACACUGGGACUGAGACACGGCCCAGACUCCUACGGGAGGCAGCAGUGGGGAAUAUUGCACAAUGGGCGCAAGCCUGAUGCAGCGACGCCGCGUGAGGGAUGGAGGCCUUCGGGCUGUGAACCUCUUUCGCCAGUGAAGCAGGCCUGCCUCGUUUGUGGGUGGGUUGACGGUAGCUGGAUAAGAAGCGCCGGCUAACUACGUG
rnacentral:rRNA from 1 species